GACGAACGCUGGCGGCGUGCUUAACACAUGCAAGUCGUACGGUAAGGCCCUUUCGGGGGUACACGAGUGGCGAACGGGUGAGUAACACGUGAGUAACCUGCCCACAACUUUGGGAUAACGCUAGGAAACUGGUGCUAAUACUGGAUAUGUGCUCCUGCUGCAUGGUGGGGGUUGGAAAGCUCCGGCGGUUGUGGAUGGACUCGCGGCCUAUCAGCUUGUUGGUGGGGUAGUGGCCUACCAAGGCGGCGACGGGUAGCCGGCCUGAGAGGGUGACCGGCCACAUUGGGACUGAGAUACGGCCCAGACUCCUACGGGAGGCAGCGGUGGGGAAUAUUGCACAAUGGGCGCAAGCCUGAUGCAGCAACGCCGCGUGCGGGAUGACGGCCUUCGGGUUGUAAACCGCUUUCAGCAGGGACGAAGCUUUUUGUGACGGUACCUGCAGAAGAAGCACCGGCUAACUACAUG
rnacentral:rRNA from 1 species